AAGGCUAUACUUUAAAGGAUCAUUUCUGUAGUUACUCUUCAUUUACAUUUUUUGGAAAUCGACCCGCGAUGACGAGGUAUAUCGUUUUAUCUGACAGCGUGAGGUUUAUGAAGUUCAUUUCUAAUUUUGUCUUGUGGCAUAUUAGAAAUGAUGUUUCUUCGAAAAUCGUGAGUGGUGAUUUUAAUGAAUGAAUUCCUUUUGGUUAAAAUGCUCUGCGUUGG